rnacentral:rRNA from 1 species
AUUGAACGCUGGCGGCAUGCCUUACACAUGCAAGUCGAACGGCAGCACGGGUGCUUGCACCUGGUGGCGAGUGGCGAACGGGUGAGUAAUACAUCGGAACGUACCUUAUCGUGGGGGAUAACGCAGCGAAAGUUGCGCUAAUACCGCAUACGCCCUGAGGGGGAAAGCGGGGGACCGUAAGGCCUCGCGCGAUUAGAGCGGCCGAUGUCUGAUUAGCUUGUUGGUGAGGUAAAAGCUCACCAAGGCGAUGAUCAGUAGCUGGUCUGAGAGGACGAUCAGCCACACUGGGACUGAGACACGGCCCAGCCUCUUACGGGAGGCAGCAGUGGGGAAUUUUGGACAAUGGGGGCAACCCUGAUCCAGCAAUGCCGCGGGAGUGAAGAAGGCCUUCGGGUUGUAAAGCUCUUUUGUCAGGGAAGAAACAGCAGCUCUAACACAGUCUGCGAAUGACGGUACCUGAAGAAUAAGCACCGGCUAACUACGUG